rnacentral:rRNA from 1 species
GACAGAGGCCCCAAGCGUUAGGCGGAAUCACUGGGCUUAAAGCGUGUGUAGGCGGACGCCUAAGUGUCUUGUGAAAUCCCACGGCUCACCCGUGGAACUGCUGGGCAUACUGGGCGUCUUGGGCCAACUAGGGGCAGCCGGAACAAGCGGUGGAGCGGUGAAAUGCGUAGAUAUCGCUUGGAACGCCGAAGGUGAAAACAGGCUGCUGGGGGUUGUGACCGACGCUGGAGACACGAAAGCCAGGGGGAGC